rnacentral:tRNA from 1 species
UAUAUUUUAGUAUAUGUUGUACAAAGGUUUUUGAUUCCUGAGGAAAUAGUUAAAUUCUGUUAAAUAUAA